CAGUAGCCACGGUAAUACGUAGGUGGCAAGCGUUGUCCGGAAUUAUUGGGCGUAAAGGGCUCGCAGGCGGUUUCUUAAGUCUGAUGUGAAAGCCCCCGGCUCAACCGGGGAGGGUCAUUGGAAACUGGGAAACUUGAGUGCAGAAGAGGAGAGUGGAAUUCCACGUGUAGCGGUGAAAUGCGUAGAGAUGUGGAGGAACACCAGUGGCGAAGGCGACUCUCUGGUCUGUAACUGACGCUGAGGAGCGAAAGCGUGGGGAGCGAACAGGAUUAGAUACCCCGGUAGUCCUGUCUCUUAUACA
rnacentral:rRNA from 1 species